UAGCUACAGGCUUAACACAUGCAAGUCGAGGGGCAGCAUGGUCUUAGCUUGCUAAGGCCGAUGGCGACCGGCGCACGGGUGAGUAACACGUAUCCAACCUGCCGAUAACUCGGGGAUAGCCUUUCGAAAGAAAGAUUAAUACCGCAUGGUUUUACUAUUAAAGAAUUUCGGUUAUCGAUGGGGAUGCGUUCCAUUAGUUUGUUGGCGGGGUAACGGCCCACCAAGACUACGAUGGAUAGGGGUUCUGAGAGGAAGGUCCCCACAUUGGAACUGAGACACGGUCCAAACUCC
rnacentral:rRNA from 1 species